GCACCUAAAAGUAUGUAACAUGUAUAUAUAAUAAGUUUAUUUCAUUUAUUUGUUGCUAUUUAAUAAAUCCUAUUCAUACCUCUAACUUUUUUCUUUGAUGUCUAUUAAAGGAGAUGUGGUUGAAGGAGCAGGUAUUGGAUGCGGUUCGCCUAAAAGGAAUUCAGGAGACAAUCGUAGGAUUUCUUAACGACCAAGUCCUAAAUCCCGGUGGCGAGUGCUACUUCAACCUUGAGGAGCCGAUGAAACCAAAUCACGAUGAUCAUUUGUACAAUGCUUGAGUGGCGGAGAUAAAUUGUGUUGUAAAUACUUUGUCCAUGAUGCAUAUGUAUAAAUAUUAUAUUAUGGACCUAUAGAUAUAUAUAAUAUAUAUAUAGUGUUUUAUAGUAUAUUUAUAUGUAAUGCUUUAAAUUAUAUAAAUUAUAGGUGCACGUUCCAUAAACUACCAGCAAACAAUACGCAUUCAAAAAUAAUAAUAACAUAAUUGUAAACCCUAAAUGGAAAACCAAAAGAAAAGAAAAGGAAAAAAGAAAAAAGUCUUUAGUCCCGGUUGGUAGCAACAACCGGGACUAAAAGUGGAGGCAAGGUGGCACACCCUGGCGCACCUUUUAGUCCCGGUUGUUGUUACAAACCGGGACUAAAGGUGGACCUUUAUUCUCGGUCCGCGGAACCGGGACUAAAGGUGGGACAUUUAGUCCCGAAACCUUAGCCCUGGUUUCAUAGCCAGGACUAAAGGCCCUUACGGCCC
rnacentral:lncRNA from 1 species